UCUUAAUAUCCAGAGUGAACCUCCCCUGGCACAGCUUGAGGCCAUUACCUGUUGCUGUUACAUGGGAGAAGAGACCAGCACUCACCUCCCUACAUCUUUCUUUCAGGUAGUUGUAGAGAGCAAUGAGGCCUGCCCCGAGCAUCCUCUUCUCCAGGCUGAACCAUCCCAGUUCCCUCAGCUGCCUCUUAUAAGACUUGUGCUCCAGACCUCUCACAGCUUCACUGUCCUUACUGAAGAGAUGGGAUGCAGCUGCACUUGUGCAGGUUUUGUCCAGCCAAAAGAAAAGUAGCCAGCCACAUCAGCAUGGUGGCGAGCAGUGUGCCUGCUGUUACAUCGUCCGCCUGCUCCUCGUGCCCGUCACUCACGAAGCAUGACGGCUGCCAUCAAACGGGGAUUACUCCGAGCAGCACCACGGCCAUGCAGCUUCUAGAACAAAGAGAAACAUUUUGCCGAGUGAGUCUCCUACCCUCAUGCAAAAACAGAAGUUGGACAAAGAGAGGUGGAAAGGGGAGGUUUCAUAAGUUACAAGGCCUCUAACCUAAAUUUUGAGACUUUAGCAAAUACUGUAGUGGUUUAUUUAUCACUAUCUGUUUUCAGUCAAGAUAGGAUGGUUUUUAAAAAUAUCUGACCUGGGCCGAAGAAGAAUCAAGCAGGGAAGCCCGAUGUCUUCUUUUGUGCAGUCAGGCGUCAGUGAUCCAUUCUUAUGUUAUAAUUUAUGAAUUUUCCAAAUUACAGUGAAUCAGUUCCUUAAACUCUCCAAGAGCAAUUAUGCAGCUAUGUGAACCUUUUCUACUGAAUUACAAGGCAAAAUAUUUAUGCAUUUGGUGAUCUUUCAAGUGAGAAACAUUUGAUGCCAUUUUUAUGAAAAGAAAUCGUAAUUUGCAUAGCAGUGGUGAAAGCAUUCUGAAAUUCUCCAGCUAUUGCUGCCUACCUAAUGAGUUACUUACCAAGCAGGAUUGAUCAUUUACUUUGUAAAGACGUCAAGAAAAGAUUGUCAGAAGAAGAUUAGUGUGAUUUGUUUAUUACAAGUGUAGAGACAGAGACCUACUUGGAAAGAUGGCAGCAGAGUUAAAUCUUUAUGGGUAAGAUAAAGAUUAAUGGAAAUGAAAGAUAAAGAGCAAUAAAGGCAAUUACACAACAAGCGGACUGCA
rnacentral:lncRNA from 1 species